GGACUACAAGGGUUUCUAAUCCUGUUUGCUACCCACGCUUUCGUGUCUCAGCGUCAGUGAUGGUCCAGAAAGCUGUCUACACCGCAGGUGUUCCUCCUGAUAUCUACGCAUUUCACCGCUACACCAGGAAUUCCGCUUUCCUCUCCCAUACUCAAGCCCUCCAGUUUUCCGCGCACCCUCCCAGUUGAGCCGGGAGAUUUCACACGGAACUUAGAGAACCGCCUACACACUCUUUACGCCCAGUAACUCCGAACAACGCUCGCUGCCUACGUAUUACCGCGGCGGCUGGCAC
rnacentral:rRNA from 1 species